ACAAUAAACAAAUAUAAGAAAAACAGGUGCAAAUAGAUUAUAGAUAAACUUGGCAAAGUACUGCAUUCACUGUGCCAUAAUUUUUUAGCAAUCUGCAAUUACAUUUCUCAACUUACAUCGUGCCUAAUAGUUACUCGAUGAUGCAAGAAAGACAUUCCCGCAUAUCCUAGACUCAAAAGCAUUUGGUGUUUUGGCAGUUUUGCAUAUCUUUUGGCAACACAAGUUUUAAUAAAUAGCAGUCUGAAUGAGACAACUAUUUAAGAUCAUCUAUGAAUCAUUUAUCAAUUUCAUCAAUGAAAAAGCAAUAGUUCGACCCAACCAACACCUAGAGGGGGGGGGUGAAUAGGUGUUUAUGCGGAAUUAAAACAAUUAAUUAACUGAUGCAACAAGUCACAUCAAUUAUACAUUGCCUAGAUUCAUUCACAUACUUUAUCUACCUAAGUUGAAUUACCGGUUGAAAAAUAAAUAACAUAAAGCAGUAAAAACACAACAAAAUGUUGACGGAGAAAACCCAUCUGGGUAAAAACUCCGGGCACAAGCCAGUAGAGAUCCACUAUAGAAGAUAUUGACUUACAGUACGUCAGACAUUAUUGAUUCUAACAAUAUUCUGACCUCCUUACUGUAUCGACCACAGCUAUCCUGAAUUUUGCAGAUCUGCGCCAAAAUCCCAACUUUGAAUAUCUUCUACCUCCUGUGAAUCACCAAGCUCUCCAGUUCUUCAAGCAAUUUCCUUCCCGGAUCUUCAAACAGACGAUCUUCUGGAAGUUUAUAUGGAGAUAUGAAAGGGUGUUUUGGUUUUGUGAGGGUUGAUGUUUUUAUUCAAAGAAUCAUGAGAAUCAAAGAUGAAUUUAUUGUUGGUUCUUGAUCCUUUGGAAGUUGAGAGGAAUUGUUGUUUUAAUGUUUGCCAAAGGUCACAUUAGAAAAUCGGACGUUUUGUUUAUAUAGUAGGUCGAAUUUGGUAAUAUAGGGCGUUAAAAAUUCGCGAGGCAUUAAAAUUACCAAAGGCCAGAUAACAUGGUCGCUCGAGCGAGGUCCUGGCGAAACUCGAGCGACGUACCUUCGCUCAGGCGAUAGACCAGCGAAACUCCAGCGAGGUCAGUUCUGCAAUUUUGGCUCUAGCAAGGUCAAGGCGAAACUCCAGCGACAUCAACCCGCCGUUUGCAUCUUCAAAGCAUCCCACUUUACCCUAGACCUAUGCUAUGACCUUUACUAAAUUGCAACUUUAGUCCCUGAACUAUUUGACAUGUACAAUUUGGUCCUUGACUUUACAAUUUUGACAAAUAGGUCCUUUGGUCACAGAUUGCCAAUUACACAUUUUCCAAACAAACUCCCCUUUGGCAUUCUGUGACAAAAAUACAUAUGACAGUCAAGGACAAAAAAUAAACAUAACUCCAAACAACCUAUCUAUUCAACUAAAGUAGCAAUCUCUUGUUGAACCUGUUUCCUGAAAAUCACGAACUCAAAUACCAAGUGUAAAAGCAUAUGAAAUGGAAACAUUAAACAAGAAAUCGAUCAUAUGUCAUUAACCAGAUUAAGAAGCAAUAAUAAUGUAAGUCAAAAACACCAAAAACAUACAUUAAUAUUGCCAAAACAUCAAGAAACUUAAUCUAGUCAUGAAGUAUAACACAAUUACCAAAAAAUUUAAGAUCUAUCGAUCUAUCUAUCUAUCUAAAUGUCUACUCCCCCUUUUUGUCACAAAGGACAAAGGUCAAAACAAUGAACUAACGAACUACGAUGCAGCACCACCAGCAUCUGAAGACUCAGCUCCGCUCUCAGCAUCCGUGUCGUCCUCCAUACUAUCACGAAUCCAAUGCAAAUGACGCUGACAUACUGCAAGAGCACGACGAAAAGAAGAAAGCUCAGCUGACUGACGCUCCGACGCGGCCCGUAACUGCGUGAUCUCUGCCAUCAUACAAGCCUGCUGCUCGACCAAAGUAGACAUCUGUCCCAUAAGCGUCAUCAUGGGGUCCACGGGCAAAGCAGCCACCCCAAGAGCAGAAGUAGAAGUAGAGGUCGAAGGAAAGGCAGAAGUAAGUGGAGUGGUCGAAGGAAAAGCCGUACGAGGAGAGAGAAACACACGGGAACCCCUUGUAAGAAUCUCAGUAAUAGGAUCAAAGGGCUCCGAAAAAUCAAAAACAUCAACGACUGCUGCCUGACCCGUAGCAUGAGAAGAAGAGGAAGAUGACUAUACAUGGGAUCGACUCUGAUGAAUGGUCUGCUGUCCUAUCGGACGGCCUAUGCGACAAGUCGAACCCUCUGGAAAGGAAGCACCCAACGACAAAGCAACCCUAUGAAUCAAGCAAGCAUAAGGCAACCCGAUCUGACUCCCAGGAGUACGAAAUGAAGCCAGAAUAUUCUGGCACACAAAACUAGGAAAGUCGAUCGAGUCCCCAUGAAGAAGAGCAUAAAGAAAACGGGUUCGGACCAAAGGUAAUGAAGAGGUAUGGGCAACCGGCCACAGGUUUGUACACACUAUGCGCAACAACACCUGACGAUCAGUAGGUAAAGACCCCGUGGCCAUCGCCGAAGGCCCCCCGAUAGACGGGGUGUUCAAAAUCGUCGACCGAACAAGAGAAUCGGCCGGAAUAGAAGCAGGUAAAAUAUAGGGAUAAGUCGGAUGGGUAAUAUGAGGUAUACCUAAAGCAUGAGCUAUAGCCGACGGAGUAACCCUAAAAGAAUGACCUCUAAGAGUAACCCGAAAAGACGAGCCGUCGAUAUCAUGAAUGUUAGCAUAGAAUUCCUGAACGAGGAGUGGGGGAGGAGGUGAAAAAUCAACAAGAAGGGGCUCCCAACCCCGAGAAACAAAAAUGGCGGCGAUAUCAACAGGAAGGUCAGAGAGGAUUACCUCACACUCCAUGAGAACGGGGCGUAAGGAGAACUGAGAAGUGAAGACCUCCUGAGCUGUAGCAGAAAUGAAUUAGGAACGACUAUACGACGUCGAACCACUAGCUGGCUGCACAGAAGGUCGAGAACGCUUACGGGCCAUCUGACACAUGGAGAGAUGAAACUCAAUUAGUAAGAUGAAGAAUGCACGGGGUACGAUGCAAUAUGAAAUGAAACACUGCACACACAAAUGAGGCACGAAAGAGAUGCAUCGAAAAACGUGAACGACCUUAAGAUCAAACCAAGCAUGAUGGAAAUAUUCACCAAAAAUAUGUGUAAAAACACUCAAAAAGUCACGUGACGAAAAUGAAACAAAGGUGGAAUGAAGAGGAGAAAAAAAAUGAAACACACAAACGAAGGAAAAGAAAAAAAGCAAAACAUAACAGGGGACUUUCAUCGAACACAUGAUGGACGUCACUUCGGCACACAAUUCCAAGCACAUACGAAACCCAAGCAUGCAUCCAAGCAUAGUCCCACAAACUAGAAUGCAAGGGCUUUAAAAGGAAACAAACCACACAGCAAACGGAGUAACGGAAUGCAAGAACGGACAACAUGAAUGAAGAACACACAAUGUAAUGUAAAAUAUGAUGCCAAAAUCGAAGGAUAACAAGAAUAACACACAAGAAAUGCAUGAAUAUCAUAACAAGGGAAGAAGAAAUAAUCAAAAUACACAAACACAAUAGGGAAGAAGAAAAAAAAGAAAAAAAAGAAAAAAAAUAAUACCUCAAACCGAUGUGCAAAUUUUGAAAUCCGGAAGCCAAUAUGUGUUAGGGGCUUCGAAAUUUUGUCAGAAACAAGUGUGAAGUAUGAAGUUUGAAGGAGUUGCAGCAAUUAGUGAAGAAAUGAGAGAAAAUGGAGAAGAAUUGCGCGAAAAAUGAAACCGGUGACUUUUAAAAAUGCACGGUCGCUCGAGCGAGAUGUGGGCGAAACUCGAACGAAAAGCAUUCUGCAUUUGUCGCUCGAGCGAAGUGUGGGCGAUACUCAAGUGAAGUUCAAAUGUCAGAAAUAGCACUAAAAUUUUGAAUAUGGAGAAAAAGAGCACAAUUAUCAAGAAAUGACGAAAUUAGCCUCAAAUCGUGUAUUUUCAAAAGUAAGACAAGAACAGAGCAUUGGAAACACGAAGCAUGGGACCAAUUACAUUUUACUAUACCAACAGAAAGCAUAAAAUCACAACCUCCACACUCAGUACAUAGACAAAUCGUAAGUCCACACAUAGUUCAAAAUCCCGUGGAGUAAAGUGUAUAUAGAAUAUCAUCGUGAAAAGUGUCACGUAGUCCAUGCAAGUGAGAUUCAAAAACCUUAAAUUAGUGAGAAAGGACACGUAAAAACAACCAGACAGAGGUGUAUGUCUACCAAGUGACAGUCAAAUCCAAUUCCACGAGGACCUAUAUCAAAUAUUGCGAUUGUCACAAUUUUAUUCUCCCUAACUGUAUGAUUCCAUAAUAUUUUUUUUUGAAACAAAAGAACCUAAGUGCAAUGCUAUCCCCAUUAGUUGACAUAAAUGACUCCGGUAACGAACUUUGGGCCAGUGACUCCCAAGUCAGAUGACCAUAGGUCACCAGGUUAGAAACCCCUCAGGCUUAAUUGUUCGAGUCAAAUAGGCCCCGAAAACAGUCAGAAGUUCAGCAAAAGAAAAGUGGGGAAAGACAAUAUGAUUAGGUGACACUAGUCCCAGAUCAAGUCAAAUGGACACAUAACCCGAAUCAUAGAAGAACACCAUCCCAAGUCUCACCCAUGCGGUCAAGACUCACUCACAGGACUACAGUGUGUGCUGUACAAAAAUGAAUGACGAGCCAUAUACCCAGAACUCCACAGGCAAAGAGAACGAUAAUGGAAUCUCAGACUUGUACAUAUGAUGAAAAAUAGAGUCUGAUCUUUAAUGCAAAAGCCAUUAUCUUCACAUAAAAGGCGCACACACACAAAAUCCCAUUUUAUUUUUAUGGUUUAUUAUGAUGAUUUUUUUUUUAUUUUCAUAUUUAAACACACAAAAGAAGACUAAAUGACAAACUAACAAUCAAAAAUGCGUCACACACACACAAAUCACAUGCAAGAUAUGAAGUGACUAGGUGCAUAUGUGAUGAAUGCAUGAAUAUGCAUGAAUCCAAGAUCAGAUAGGUGAGCAAACACCAACAGCCGUCCGAAGCGACUCAAACCUCAAUCCAUCUAGUGGUUUCCUAAGUAGAUCUGCCAAUUGAUUAUCAGUAGAGACAUGGUCGAGAGAGACUACAUGUGAUUCAACAAGCUCACGAAUAAAAUGAUGUCGGAUGUUAACAUGUUUUGUUCGAGAGUGUUGAAUGGGAUUCUUAGAAAUAUUUAUAGCACUUGUAUUAUCACAGAAAAUAGUCAUGGUUCCUUGAUUAAUCCAAUAAUCACUCAGCAUCUGCUUCAUCCAGAGAAGCUGAGUGCAGCAACUACCUGCAGCUAUGUAUUCGACCUCUGCCGUGGAUAGAGAUAUAGAAUUCUGUUUCUUACUCAACCAGGCUACGAGAUUGCUACCCAUGUAAAAACAACCCCCUCUCGUGCUUUUCCUAUCAUCCGCGUUUUCGGCCCAAUCGGCGUCGGAGUAACCAGCCAAGUCAAGAUUAGAAUUCCUAGAAUAGAAUAUUCCUAGAUCAACUGUUCCACUCACAUAUCUAAUGAUGCGUCUAACAGAGCUUAAGUGUGAUUCUUUUGGAUUUGCCUGAUAUCGAGCACACAUUCCAACACUAAAAGCAAUGUCAGGUCUAGUAGCUGUGAGAUAAAGAAGACUACCUAUCAUGCUUCUAUAUAGGGAAGGAUCGACACUCUUACCUGAAGCAUCACGACUUAACUUCAAACUAGUACUCAUAGGUGUCCUAGUAUGUUUCUUACUAUCCAGCCCAAAGCGCUUAACUAGAUCCUUAGCAUACUUAGAUUGUGAAAUGAACAGUCCAUCCUCUAUCUGUCUCACUUGAAGUCCAAAGAAAUAACUUAACUCCCCAACCAUACUCAUUUCAAAUUCUUGCUUCAAACACUAAGCAAACUCAUGAGCUAAAGACUCAAGAGGAGAACCAAAAAUAAUAUCAUCGACAUAAAUCUGAGCAAUGGUGAUAGUUUCUUCAACAUGUUUAAUAAAUAAAGUCCUAUCUGCACCACCUGGAGAGAAUCCAUGCUCUUCAAGGUAUGAUGUAAGUCUCUCAUACCAAGCUCUAGGAGCUUGCUUCAGACCAUAGAGGGCUUUGUGAAGUUUGUAGACAUAGUGGGGAAACUUAGGAUCAACAAAUCCUUUUGGUUGUUCCACAUAGACUUCUUCUUGAAGAAGUCCAUUCAAGAAAGCACUCUUAACAUCCAUUUGAUGCAACUUGAACCCUAGGGUACAUGCAACAGCAAGCAGAAUUCGAAUAGACUCAAGUCGUGCAACAGGGGCAAAAGUCUCAUCAAAAUCAAUUCCUUCAACUUAAGUAUAACCCUGAGCAACUAGUCUAGCCUUAUUCCUAGUUAUAGUACCUUGGUCAUCUGUCUUGUUCUUAAAGAUCCACUUAGUACCUAUAACAUUACAAUUCUCAGGUCUGGGAACUAAGAUCCACACAUUGUUCCUCGCAAAUUGAUUGAGCUCCUCAUGCAUCGCAUUCACCCAACACUCAUCACUAAGAGCCUCUUCAACUUUCUUAGGUUCUACCUGAGAGACAUAGCUAGUGUAUGCUAUAUUGUUCAGUACUCUCCUACGAAGCCUCAUACCUUCAUCUAGAUCCCCAAUGAUAUUGUCCUUAGGAUGAUUAGACUUAACCCUAGUCGAUGGUUCCUUAGGAUCUUUAUCUCGAUCUUGUGGAAGUGUUUUCUUUUCAGGUGUUUCAGGUUUCCUAAGAGAUGAUUCAGACACAGGUGGCUCAGUAGGAUCACUAGAACUUAUAAGAUCA
rnacentral:lncRNA from 1 species